UUUAGAUCAUGGAAUCUGUUAGCAAGUGUGAAAGAGAGAGAGCCUAACAAAGCAACGGCAGUAUUCAUAGUUGUCGCGCAAGUGGAAGAAUGCAAUGCGUCUGCAUUAUCCUUCAUCCUGAGAGCAGCAGGAGGGUGUGGAGCACUACCUGCCAUGGCUAUGCCGCACACUAUGGAGGAGGACGAAGGGUGGCACCUUAACCAGCUCCAGCCUCCAGAAGCUUAUCAGGUUGAUACUUAAAUACAUAUAUCUGCAACAAAUGAUUCCAUCCAAUUUGCAUUGCCUUCCCAGCAACUCCAGAUUAUUAACUAUCCCAAAGAAGAUUUGAUUUUGAUAAUUCAGCAUCAAUGUUGUAAACAAAAGGAUGCAGUAUAGAAAAAAGAGAUACUCGAGUGAACAAGAGAUACUUCAGCAUUUGUAUAAUUGCGAUAAAUUUAUAUUUAGAUUUGCAUUAAGAACUGAUUUUAAUGGGCA